GGGUCUGUAGCUCAUUGGUAGAGCGUGUGUCUUAUAAGCACAUGGUAGGUGGUUCGAUUCCCCCCAGGCCCA
rnacentral:tRNA from 1 species